CAUCGUACAGCCUUUCUGAUUUGAGUGACUCAUAUCCCCAGUGGCUGGUAGCUCUCAGCAGACACUGACUGCAAAUCCUGUGAGCACAUAGGCAGGCACAGACAUCUCACUGUGAGGAAGACUUGCAAGCUUUUCAGAGCAGGACCAUAUUGAACGACUUUCUAUCUCUCCGUGAAAUCAAUACUUAAUUCUAAAGUACUGUCGAGGAGACUCCCUGUGAGGGUGGGAGGGGAACAGGUCUGUUCUAAGAAAGAAGAAACCAGAAGCCAGGUCUCAGGGGAGAGGAUGCCUACAGCCUCCUUGCAGUCUGGUGAGGGGGACUCAGGAGUCAGCUGCCACCACAGUGAGUGUGGGUAUGAGUCACUGGAGGGGAGGAGUCCAUGGAGGGAAUCUGUGAGAAAAUGUGCAUAUUGAGACAUUGAUUGUGCAUCUGGGGGUAUUUUUGGUUCCAGAAUAGAAUGGCAAGACGUCCUGGUGAAUUGAGAGAUCUAUACCCUUACAGACAUGGGACCAGAGGCAGUCACGCUCAAGUACAAAAAACGUGCUGAUGAGAAGUACUCGUCGCUGUUGGCUCAGCCACAGCCUGUGUCAAAGGGGUGGAUAUAGAUCCCGUAAACCCUGGUCUUCAGAACUGAUGAGCAAAUAGUCACUUCCAGGUUGGGUAGGAUGGGUAGGUUGCUUUAGAAUCACGACAAAGCUGGGAUUGCUCAGCCAUCUCUUUCAUUUAGUCAUCCAGGAAUGUCUCCUGAGCAUAUAGCCUGGGCACCUGCUACAGGAGGUGUCCGAUAGCUCAGAAUGGUCCCCGUUCUUGAAAUCCACAGUCUAGUUCACAGGCUUUCAGCCUUGCCCCUCUGCAGUCUACGUGGGCAGAACUCCCACAGUCUUUCCCUCCUGGAGCCUCAGGGCCCUAGGGGGUAGGGAAUGUAGGUUUGGGGAUCCCACUCCGAGCUGUGCACUGGAGAGCUGGCGUGACUACAGUGUGGGCAUCCAGAGUGAGUCCUAGCGAUGGUGUCUGUGUGUCCUGUGGAUGGUCACUUUCAGGCAGAGAAGUGGGGUCGGUCAAGGCUGGAGAUGUCCACUGAAUGUGGCAGAAAAGAAGCCACUGCAGGCCCCUGGGGAGGCAGUGGGGGUGUGUGUGGAGAAGUAGAUGACAGUGAUUGGGAAUAACAGGGAAAACUGAGAGGGGAGACGUGGCCUUCUCACUUUAUAGACUCGGCAUAUUUGAGGGUUUGUCCAAGAAGUAUGUAUUACUUUGCUAACUUAAAAAAAAAAAAGCCCCUAUAUCUUUUAGAUGAGUAAAUGAAAGAUGAAAAACAGAGCUUGUUGAAGGAGAUCUUUCUUGCGGAAGAUUCAGCUGUGAAGCUAGGGGCCAGGAGGCGAAUCCAGGGUGACCACUCGGCGGAGAUUGGUGCCAUAUUCUCUGCAGAGCAGAGAACUAGCCUCUGCCCUGGAUAAUCAGCCGCCCACAAGUCAGCAGAAGACCUGACUAACGGUCACAUGUCAGGACCUCUGGCAGCUAAAGAUAACGUCUUGACCUAAGUUAGGUUUCAGUUUCUGAGCCCUGAGGUGGAACGGCCCUCUGGCUGUUUUCCCAUGAGACUGGACAGAGGGACGCCGGAAAAGACCUCAGAAGUGUCCUCAAGACCUGAAGAAAUGAUUCGUUAGCCUUACCUCACCUCCGACCAAUCAGCUCCCCACACGACCCCGAACCCCUAGACCACGGUGUCCUGUGGUUUCGCCCUAUGACUUGUAACUUCUAUGCCAGUGAGGAGCCAGCUCUUAGCACUAGCUCACCUGUGUCUCCGGGUUUGGCGUCAAUCCCUAAAUAAACCUUUACUUUCUUUGCUGCAAACUCCUGUUCGCAUCUCAUUUGGCUUUGAUGCGUGCAGACAAAGGGAUUUCUGUAGGUUGGUAGCAGCGUCUUCCCACCAUUGGUGGUGUGUCUUUUUAAAAAAAAAUUCCUGAAGGUCCAAAUACUUGGAAGUGUAAGUGGCUAAAGGAAGUUCAGGUUCCUGUUCUGACUUGAUCUCAUAUAGAUUGAGAAGGCCGCGAGGGACAGCCGGGGCCUGGGUCCAGCAGGCCAUGCCUUCUCUUUCCUUUAAAAGGGAUUCGUUGGGAUUUGUGGAGCGUCACCCAAGAUGGUGACCCACCCUCUUAGAUGCUGGAGAUUGAAAGACUCUAAUAAGGCCUGGUCCUUGUAUUUGGUGAGCUCUCAGGUUAUAAGAAGGAAGAUAAUUUUGCAAAAAAUGAUUGGAAAACAGGGUAGUAAGAGCUAUUUUACGGGCAUGAACAAAGGGGCAGUGAUGGGGAAAGGGUGCCUUGUACUGGGUGGGAGAGCAGGGUCAAGUAGAGGCCUUCAGUUGAGUAGGACUUUUAAUAGCUUUUCACAUCACAUACAAUUCCCUAAAUUUGCCUUAAAAUUCCAACCACUUUUAUUAAGACGAGGACCCAAGGGGUUUUGUCCUUAAAGUAGACAUGGCUUCUCCAGUUAGAAGACCCCAUUACUGCUAAUUCCUGUCAAGAGCGGGACAAAGGCAGAAGAAUCGGCCGUUAGGUGCCCACACGCAUAUACUUCUUCCAAAUGUUUAACCCCAAAGGCAGAAAUCCUUCCUAAAAGAAAAUGAAGUUCUUAAAUGGUUACACCGGUUGAGAUUACAAUGCUAGGGAUCCAGCCACGGCCAAUUGAAUUGAGUUAGGGCCAAACAGCAGCUACACUCUAACAGGGAGAGCCAAAAAUACACACCGAGACUAUUCUUGGUAUUUCUAAGCGGAUCAGAAAGGUAACCUAACUAGCAAUCCUGUAGAUUGAUCUCAGGAUACUCUAAAUUGCUUCCAUUUUUUUUGCAAUCAACUCAGGGAAAUUUGCAAAAACUCCAAGCCAAAUAAUGUUGGUUUACUUAAAAUGUUUUUAAAAAACUGGUGACUAAGAGAUGUCCCAUCCCCCACUCACUCCUG